UUUUUAGUGUUCGGUUGUACUUAGCUACACCCUCUCACGUCACUUCUAGUUGCAGAAAACCAAGAUAGCAACGGCCAAAAAACAAGAU